rnacentral:rRNA from 1 species
CCCUUAGAUGUUCUGGGCCGCACGCGCGCUACACUGACGGAGGCAGCGAGCAUGUCCUUCGCCGAGAGGUGUGGGGAAUCUUGUGAGUCUCCGUCGUGCUGGGGAUAGAUGGUUGCAAUUGUCGAUCUUGAACGAGGAAUUCCUAGUAAGCGCGAGUCAUCAGCUCGCGCUGAUUACGUCCCUGCCCUUUGUACACACCGCCCGUCGCACCUACCGAUUGAAUGGUCCGGUGAAAUCUCCGGACUGGCGUGAGUCGGAGCAAUCUGACAAACACCGGAAAGUUGAUUAAACCUUACCAUUUAGAGGAAGGUGAAGUCGUAACA